GGGAUGAAGUCACCUUUUAAAACUAGCUGACUUGUUCGUGAGUCGCUGUCACUGCUGUUAGAACUUAGUGGUUUUUUUUCCCACGGCUGGGCACCAGAACUUUCUCUCAGGAAAAUUUUACUGAGUCAAUAAUUCUUAUUUGACAAAAGAAGUGUGAGAAACAUGAUAACUUUGCUAAUGAGUCCUACCAUUGUAACACAACCAUUGGCGUUUGAUGAGAGCUGCAUGCACGAGGGGCUAGGUGGAAGCAUGGAUCUCAGUGGAAACUGGACUCUGGAGGACGGAAGCUGGCUGUCACCCACUGGGGAUCGCCACUUCCCCAACGGCAGAGGCGGUAUGGCCACUUUCCCGUUGCCGGCUCUCAUGGUCUCUCCCGUUCCUCCCCUUCACUGUGUCAGCCUGCCUGACAGAGUCUGAUUAGACAUCAAACAGAUCCUCAAUGUAUGCAGCAUUACCUAUGCUACUUUAAGAAAAAACAAUUGCCCCCUGGGAAACUA
rnacentral:lncRNA from 1 species